rnacentral:misc_RNA from 1 species
AACGCACAUUGCGCCCGCCAGUAUUCUGGCGGGCAUGCCUGUUCGAGCGUCAUUUCAACCCUCAAGCUCUGCUUGGCGUUGGGGAUCGGCAUCCCGGCUUCGCGCCGCGCCGUCCCUCAAAUACAGUGGCGGUCACGCUGCAGCUUCCCUUGCGUAGUAGCACACCUCGCACCGGAGAGCAGCGCGGCCACGCCGUAAAACCCCCGACUUCUUGUUUUUGACCUCGAAUCAGGUAGGACUACCCGCUGAACUUAA